rnacentral:rRNA from 1 species
UCGCCUGUGGAGGAGCCUGCGUUUGAUUAGCUAGUUGGUGGGGUAAAGGCCUACCAAGGCGAUGAUCAAUAGCUGGUUUGAGAGGAUGAUCAGCCACACUGGGACUGAGACACGGCCCAGACUCCUACGGGAGGCAGCAGUGGGGAAUAUUGGACAAUGGGGGCAACCCUGAUCCAGCAAUGCCGCGUGUGUGAAGAAGGUCUUCGGAUUGUAAAGCACUUUCGACGGGGACGAUGAUGACGGUACCCGUAGAAGAAGCCCCGGCUAACUUCGUGCCAGCAGCCGCGGUAAUACGAAGGGGGCUAGCGUUGCUCGGAAUGACUGGGCGUAAAGGGCGUGUAGGCGGUUUGUACAGUCAGAUGUGAAAUCCCCGGGCUUAACCUGGGAGCUGCAUUUGAUACGUGCAGACUAGAGUGUGAGAGAGGGUUGUGGAAUUCCCAGUGUAGAGGUGAAAUUCGUAGAUAU